GUAUUUGAGAUCUGGGUUGGAGUCUAAAGUGAGAUUUUUUUGUGUUCCCCAAAAGCUACAGAUUCAACACCACUUUGGGGAGAAUUUUAUCAGAAAGAAACCUGGAAGACAUAUGUCUGCUACAUUAGAUCUUUUUUCUUUGGAUGUAUGAAGGUUUGGAAACCAUAUACAACAAUGGGAAUGAAGAUAGGACCUGCCCACAUAGAAGCAUAGUUGGAAGAGUAUAAAAACAAUGACACAGGGAAAGAUCAUGUUGAUGUCCAACACAAGGGAAGCAGAAGAAAAUGAGAGCUUAUUAUGGAUCUCCAGGGUCUGUUCUUUGAGCCGGGGUUUCCCUGGAUAUCCUGGAACUAGCUCAGUAGACCCGACUGACUGUGCUGUGAUUAAACGCAUGUACCAACACUGUCCUGCUAUUCACUGUUAAGCACAGCCUCCCACUCUGGCAUUAUUUGGGAACACUGUUGGCUUCUUGAUAACAGUGGUGAUAGGAUCGGUUUUUAACUGAGGACGAUCUUGAAUUUCUGAUUUCUACCUUCUGAGCUCAUUUCUGGGGAUUGAAUCCAGGGUUUCCUGCAUGCCAGAUAUCACAAAGGAAAGCUUCUUUAGGAGUCCAUCUUAACCCGGUCAGAAGAGCUGUCAACAGCAAACAGUGACAACAAAAUGCUGCAGAGAAUGGAAGGAAGGAGGGGCUGAUAAGCUAUUGUCAUGGGUAUGAAACUGUGCAACCACUCCAGAAAUUAGAGUGGAGGCUCCUCACAAACUAGAAAUGGGCUUAUACCAUAUGACCCAGCCAUAGCGGUCUUCGGUGUGCACCCAAAGGACUCUUAAGUUCAUACACAACAGAGAUUCUUGCACACUCUUGUUUGUUACUGCACCACUCAUGGCAGAAUUGAAGCCAACCUAUGUGUCCAUCGACAAAGAAAUUAUAAUGGAAAUGUGAUACACACACGGUGGAGUUUUAUUCAGCCAUAAAGAAAAAAGUUUAUUAGUAGUAGGAAAAUAGAUGGAACUGGAGGUGAAUGUGUUAGACAAAAUUAUUCUCAGACAAAAGCUGUAUGCUUUCUAUCAAAAAUGUAACCUAGAUUUAAAGUUGCAUACACAAUGUGUGUGUGAGUGUGUGUGUGAUUUGUGGGUCUUUGAAGCAGAAGGAAGAAGACUAGAAUUCAUGUGACCUGAAGGCAAUAGAGGGAACUACUUUCAUGGACAGUCAGCCAAGGAGGGGCACAGAUGAGUAUGAGGAAAGGAGAUAAGUUCCUUCUUCUUAAAGAAGGGAGCUCUCCCAUCAGUACCAAUCUGCCAGGGCACAUCAAGUCACAGCAGGAAUAAGCACACCCUCUCCCACUGGGGCCGGACCAGGCAGCUCAGCUAGGAGAAAGAGAUCCAUGGACAGACAAUAGUGUCAGAGACAGCCCUUGCUCCAGUUAUUACAGAACCCACAUGAAAACCAAGUUGCCCCUCACGCUAUGACUCUCUUCAGACAGAAAAGGGAUCUUGGAAC